AGCGAGGCGUCGAGUGCUCGUGUAAAGAGCAAAGAGAGUGUGAUUGAGAAGAAGGACGUUCAAAUGGACUUGUCUGAGUACUCGUGUGUGGAGUUGAGUUCUGGAGUUUCGGAAGGAAAUGGCA